rnacentral:rRNA from 1 species
AUUGAACGCUGGCGUAAGGCCUAACACAUGCAAGUCGAGCGGAGCGGCGGACGGGGGAGUAAUGUAUGGGAAUCUGCCUGGUAGUGAGGGGUAAAGUCCGGAAAAGGGCGAUAAUACCGCAUAGAAUAAGAUGAGGAUAGGUCGGAUGAGCUAGGUGGUGGGAUAAAGGCGUACCAAGGCGACGAUCCGGAACGGGUCUGAGAUGAUGAUCAGGCCCACUGGACCUGAGACACGUUCCAGACUCCUACGGGAGGCAGCAGUGGGGAAGAUUGGACAAUGGGCGAAAGCCUGAUCCAGCCAUGCCGCGUGUGUGAAGAAGGUCUUCGGAUUGUAAUGCACUUUAAGUUGGGAGGCGUUACCAACAGAAUAAGCACCGGCUAACUUCGUGCCAGCAGCCGCGGUAAUUC